rnacentral:rRNA from 1 species
CCUACGGGUGGCUGCAGUGGGGAAUAUUGGACAAUGGGCGAAAGCCUGAUCCAGCCAUGCCGCGUGUGUGAAGAAGGCCUUCGGGUUGUAAAGCACUUUCAGUGGGGAAGAAAGCCUUGGGGCUAAUACCCUCGAGGAAGGACAUCACCCACAGAAGAAGCACCGGCUAACUCCGUGCCAGCAGCCGCGGUAAUACGGAGGGUGCGAGCGUUAAUCGGAAUUACUGGGCGUAAAGCGCGCGUAGGCGGUCUGAUAAGCCGGUUGUGAAAGCCCCGGGCUCAACCUGGGAACGGCAUCCGGAACUGUCAGGCUAGAGUGCGGGAGAGGAAGGUAGAAUUCCCGGUGUAGCGGUGAAAUGCGUAGAGAUCGGGAGGAAUACCAGUGGCGAAGGCGGCCUUCUGGACUGACACUGACGCUGAGGUGCGAAAGCGUGGGUAGCAAACAGGAUUAGAUACCCUUGUAGUC